UUAUAUAAAUCUAAGGCGUAUAGCCGCGCGGCUAUACUAUGUAAAUCUAAUGAUAUAUUUAAAACAGUAUAGCCGCGCGGCUAUACUAUUUAAAUAUAAUAAU
rnacentral:miRNA from 1 species